UACGGAGGGAGCUAGCGUUGUUCGGAAUUACUGGGCGUAAAGCGUACGUAGGCGGUUACUCAAGUCAGAGGUGAAAGCCCGGGGCUCAACCCCGGAACUGCCUUUGAAACUAGGUAGCUAGAAUCUUGGAGAGGUCAGUGGAAUUCCGAGUGUAGAGGUGAAAUUCGUAGAUAUUCGGAAGAACACCAGUGGCGAAGGCGGCCACCUGGACUGUACCUGACGCUCAAACGCGAAAGCUAGGGGAGCGAACGGG
rnacentral:rRNA from 1 species